GAUGAACGCUAGCGGGAGGCCUAACACAUGCAAGCCGAGCGGUAUUGUUUCUUCGGAAAUGAGAGAGCGGCGUACGGGUGCGUAACACGUGUGCAACCUGCCUUAUCUGGGGGAUAGCCUUUCGAAAGGAAGAUUAAUACUCCAUAAUAUAUUGAACGGCAUCGUUUAAUAUUGAAAGCUCCGGCGGAUAGAGAUGGGCACGCGCAAGAUUAGCUAGUUGGUGAGGUAACGGCUCACCAAGGCGAUGAUCUUUAGGGGGCCUGAGAGGGUGAUCCCCCACACUGGUACUGAGACACGGACCAGACUCCUACGGGAGGCAGCAGUGAGGAAUAUUGGUCGAUGGGUGCAAGCCUGAACCAGCCAUCCCGCGUGAAGGACGACUGCCCUAUGGGUUGUAAACUUCUUUUGUAUAGGGAUAAACCUACCCUCGUGAGGGUAGCUGAAGGUACUAUACGAAUAAGCACCGGCUAACUCCGUGCCAGCAGCCGCCGUAA
rnacentral:rRNA from 1 species